CUGGCGGCGUGCUUAACACAUGCAAGUCGAACGGAAAGGCCCUGCUUUUGUGGGGUGCUCGAGUGGCGAACGGGUGAGUAACACGUGAGUAACCUGCCCUUGACUUUGGGAUAACUUCAGGAAACUGGGGCUAAUACCGGAUAGGAGCUCCUGCUGCAUGGUGGGGGUUGGAAAGUUUCGGCGGUUGGGGAUGGACUCGCGGCUUAUCAGCUUGUUGGUGGGGUAGUGGCUUACCAAGGCUUUGACGGGUAGCCGGCCUGAGAGGGUGACCGGCCACAUUGGGACUGAGAUACGGCCCAGACUCCUACGGGAGGCAGCAGUGGGGAAUAUUGCACAAUGGGCGGAAGCCUGAUGCAGCAACGCCGCGUGCGGGAUGACGGCCUUCGGGUUGUAAACCGCUUUCGCCUGUGACGAAGCGUGAGUGACGGUAAUGGGUAAAGAAGCACCGGCUAACUACGUGCCAGCAGCCGCGGUGAUACGUAGGGUGCGAGCGUUGUCCGGAUUUAUUGGGCGUAAAGGGCUCGUAGGUGGUUGAUCGCGUCGGAAGUGUAAUCUUGGGGCUUAACCCUGAGCGUGCUUUCGAUACGGGUUGACUUGAGGAAGGUAGGGGAGAAUGGAAUUCCUGGUGGAGCGGUGGAAUGCGCAGAUAUCAGGAGGAACACCAGUGGCGAAGGCGGUUCUCUGGGCCUUUCCUGACGCUGAGGAGCGAAAGCGUGGGGAGCGAACAGGCUUAGAUACCCUGGUAGUCCACGCUGUAAACGGUGGGUACUAGGUGUGGGGUCCAUUCCACGGGUUCCGUGCCGUAGCUAACGCUUUAAGUACCCCGCCUGGGGAGUACGGCCGCAAGGCUAAAACUCAAAGGAAUUGACGGGGCCCCGCACAAGCGGCGGAGCAUGCGGAUUAAUUCGAUGCAACGCGUAGAACCUUACCUGGGUUUGACAUGGAUCGGGAGUGCUCAGAGAUGGGUGUGCCUCUUUUGGGGUCGGUUCACAGGUGGUGCAUGGCUGUCGUCAGCUCGUGUCGUGAGAUGUUGGGUUAAGUCCCGCAACGAGCGCAACCCUUGUUCACUGUUGCCAGCACGUUAUGGUGGGGACUCAGUGGAGACCGCCGGGGUCAACUCGGAGGAAGGUGGGGAUGACGUCAAGUCAUCAUGCCCCUUAUGUCCAGGGCUUCACGCAUGCUACAAUGGCUGGUACAGAGAGUGGCGAGCCUGUGAGGGUGAGCGAAUCUCGGAAAGCCGGUCUCAGUUCGGAUUGGGGUCUGCAACUCGACCUCAUGAAGUCGGAGUCGCUAGUAAUCGCAGAUCAGCAACGCUGCGGUGAAUACGUUCCCGGGGCUUGUACACACCGCCCGUCAAGUCAUGAAAGUUGGUAACACCCGAAGCCGGUGGCCUAACCGUUGUGGGGGAGCCGUCGAAGGUGGGACUGGUGAUUAGG
rnacentral:rRNA from 1 species